GAUGAACGCUGGCGGCGUGCCUAAUACAUGCAAGUCGAGCGAACAGACGAGGAGCUUGCUCCUCUGACGUUAGCGGCGGACGGGUGAGUAACACGUGGAUAACCUACCUAUAAGACUGGGAUAACUUCGGGAAACCGGAGCUAAUACCGGAUAAUAUAUUGAACCGCAUGGUUCAAUAGUGAAAGACGGUUUUGCUGUCACUUAUAGAUGGAUCCGCGCCGCAUUAGCUAGUUGGUAAGGUAACGGCUUACCAAGGCGACGAUGCGUAGCCGACCUGAGAGGGUGAUCGGCCACACUGGAACUGAGACACGGUCCAGACUCCUACGGGAGGCAGCAGUAGGGAAUCUGCCGCAAUGGGCGAAAGCCUGACGGAGCAACGCCGCGUGAGAGAUAAAGGUCUUCGGAUCGUAAAACUCUGUUAUUAGGGAAGAACAAAUGUGUAAGUAACUAUGCACGUCUUGACGGUACCUAAUCAGAAAGCCACGGCUAACUACGUG
rnacentral:rRNA from 1 species